AUGUUCCCAACACUGUUGCUGCUGCUGCUGGCAGCUUCACUCAAUGUGGACUGUGCUGUGGAAUUGACUCAGGUCGAGUCAGUGGUGGUGAAGCCGGGAGAGUCUCUGACCCUCAGAUGUAAGGUAUCAGGAUAUUCAAUUACUGAUAGCAGCUACGCAACAGCUUUCAUUCGCCAACCUGCAGGAAAAACCCUGGAGUGGAUAAACCACAUUUGGGGGGGUGGAAGCAUUUAUCAAAAAGAUUCUCUAAAAAACAAGUUCAGUAUUUCUAAAGAUGAUUCCAGCAGCACGGUGACUCUACAAGGACAGAAUCUGCAGACUGAAGAUACAGCUGUGUAUUACUGUGCCCGAUUGCACUGUGGUACUUCUGCUGAGAUGGCUCUACAAAAACACACGCUGCUUAAAGGACAUAAUGUUGAAGGUACCACCCAGAAACAAGCACAAGUACAGUUCUAA